rnacentral:rRNA from 1 species
GACGAACGCUGGCGGCGUGCUUAACACAUGCAAGUCGAACGGAAAGGCCCUGCGUUUGUGGGGUUCUCGAGUGGCGAACGGGUGAGUAACACGUGAGUAUCCUGCCCUUGACUUUGUGAUAACUUCAGGAAACUGGGGCUAAUACCGGGUAUGAGCUCCUGCUGCAUGGUGGUGGUUGGAAAGUUUCGGCGGUUGGGGAUGGACUCGCGGCUUAUCAGCUUGUUGGUGUGGUAGUGGCUUACCAAGGGUUCGACGGGUAGGCGGCCUGAGAGGGUUGACGGCGACAUUGGGCCUGCGAUACGGAGCAGACUGCUACGGGCGGCAGCAGUCGGGAGCAUUGCACAACGGGCGGACGCCUGAUGCAGAAACGCCGGGUGCGGGAUGACGGCCUUCGGGUUGUAAACAGAUUUCGACUGUGACGAAGCGUGAGUGACGGUACUGGGUAAAGAAGCACCGGCUAACUACGUG